UACGGAAGAUCCGAGCGUUAUCCGGAAUUACUGGGCGUAAAGAGUUGCGUAGGUGGCAUAGUGAGCGAGCAGUGAAAGAUCCCGGCUCAACCGGGGGUACAUUGUUCGAACUACUAAGCUUGAGCAUGAGAGAGGUAGAUGGAAUUUCUAGUGUAGGAGUGAAAUCCGUAGAUAUUAGAAGGAACACCGAUGGCGUAGGCAGUCUACUGGCUCAUUGCUGACACUAAGGCACGAAAGCGUGGGGAGCGAACGGG
rnacentral:rRNA from 1 species